GAUGAACGCUGGCGGCGUGCUUAACACAUGCAAGUCGAACGAGAAGUGAAGACGGAAACCUUCGGGCGGAAGGCUGUAUUUCGAGGGGCGGACGGGGGAGUAACGCGUGGGUAACCUGCCUCAUACAGGGGGAUAACAGUUUGAAACGACUGGUAAUACUGCAUAAGACCACAGCACCGCAAGGUGCGGGGGUAAAGACUCUGGUGGUAUGAGAUGGACCCGCAUUCGAUUUGCCAGAUGGCGGGGUAACGGCCGACCACAGCGACGAUCGAUAGCCGAUAUGGGAGCAGGCCCCGCCACAUCGGGACUGAGACACAGCCCACACUCCUACGCGAGGGAGCAGUGGGGAAUAUUGCACCAUGGGGGAAGUUCUGAUGCAGCGACGCCCCGUAAGUGAAGAUGUAUGUCGGUAUGAAAAGCUCUAUCAGCAGGGAAGAAAAUGACGGUACCUGAGAAAGAAGCCCCGGCUAACUACGUG
rnacentral:rRNA from 1 species